GGAAGAAACCAUUUAAAAGAAAAAUCUUUACAAGCAAUUAUGCAUGCUGAUGCAAUCUACAUAGCAUACAGAAGAUUAUGAUCAUUACUGCCAGUGAGUUGGCAUAUGAUGAUUGUGAAUUUCUGCCACCCAGAUCAUGAGCAGCACAUGAUGGUAUUUGGAUUUUGGGAUAAUUGAUUGUUAUUCAGGUCGUUAUAUACCAGCUUCAAGCACAGCUAAUUCCCUCAGAAUUCUUUCAUAAAUGGAUGCACCUGAGGAAGAGUCUGAAGAAGGAAGGAAGUAUGCUCAGAAGACAGAAUUAUUUUGAUCUGACGUUACAAGUAUGAGACCCUUCUGAGACCUCUUCCAAAGGAAAAAAAAUGUUCCUGUUUGCCAGAUAUACAUGACUACAUGAAAGCAUGUUACAUAUAGGCUGGAGUAUAAAGCAGUUAGAAUACAUCUGAGAUCCUAAAUCAUAAACAUUCCUACACAGGAAAAGAUUGACUGUGGGAACUGCAUCAGUACAGUCUUCUGUUCCAAUCAACAAAGAUGGAAGGCUGAAUGAAGUGCUCUGAAACUCAUUAAUACAUUUGUAUAUGUACAUAUGUGUCCCCAGUUUUUUCUUAUAUUUUACAUAUUGAUCUUGCUCUCCACAUUUUUUUUUUUUUCAGAGAACCUAAAUAGAUACCAUGACUUAUAGAAGCCUGACUGUUAAGACUGAAUUACAGAUACUCAUACAAUUGAAAACAAAUAAGCAAAGAAAAUCUAGUUAACAAAACUUCUCUUUCAUUUAAUCUUUCUUUUCUGACCUGUGAUGUUAGUAUGUCAUAAAUGUUCUAGAUGAAAGUUUGUUUCGGGCAAUAAAAUACCCUUGAAUUAC